UUGGACUAUUCUGAACCACACGUUAUCACAACACGUCUGAUGACAUGUACCAAAAACACAGGGAUAAUCAUGUUAAAAUAAAUAGGUAGUGUUUUUAUAACUGCCGCUUUUAUUUUACUUAAAAAAAAAAAACAGAAUCUAAUUACGAAGAAAUGCUUCAAAUCAUAAUAAACAAAUGUGCCGAAAGAAAUUUGUUUCCGGGCACAAAUAAUUAAUGUGGACUUUGAAAAUGCAGUAAUCAAUGCUAUAAAAAACUGUUAUUAGAGAGAAUGUACAAAUCCAGGGAUACCUAGCGAACGACGAACGUUCAUGCAACCCGGCAUUAGCUGAUAGAUUCUCGAUGCAGUACUUAACGCCCACAAAAGGUAAUUUUCAAAAUGUUUCUAUUUAUUUCAUUGCCAUUCACCAGUCAAAACUAUGAACUGUCCAAGAGAAAAUUAUAGUCAUCAGCUGCAACGAGUGUGAUGUUUACGAUGUCGACUGUUGCGUUUGAACGUGUUAAAAAUCAAUAUCUACUACCUAGAUGAUAUUGUAGCGGACCACAUAUGAACAACCGUCAAUGGAUGAUGUAAAUUAGAGGUGAAAUAAAUAAAUGGUCGAACAUUUUAAAUAACUACAAUACUACAUUACUACAUAUCAUUAUAGGAUAUCAGAUCACGUAGCAAUAGCAUGGUACCUAUACAAAGAGUUCCAAUCUAUAAAAAAACUACUGACAGAGAUAGUGUUGGAUAUUUUUUUUAACUCGUGAGACACACAAUUUUUUAAAAUGUAAUAUUGUAAAAAAUUGGGAUAUUGACGCAAUAAAAUAAAAUUAUAAGAAAAAUUAUAAAUUGUAAUCCUUGUGUCUAAUAAUAAUAAUAAUAAAAAAAAUAGGAUUAUUAUAUGAUAACUACAUUAUUUAAGCAGAUAAAUCUUUACAGGACACUAAAUAAUUGUACGAGUACCUAUAUAAUAAAAGUGAACUUACAAUAUUUGAUUUACAUCAUAAUAAGGACUAAUAGAGCGGAUUAAGGCUUCAGUUGCAAUGCAUAUUGUAGCCGGUUCAAACCUCGGUUUCGGGUGGUACUUCUCAUCGGCAGCCACAGUGUCUGGAGAGAGAGGUUUCCAUCCCCAUACGAAGCAUAGCAGAAUCCUACAGAUGCCCAAUAAGAAAUUCUGCCAAAUAGGCGUCCGAAACUAGGUCUUUGGAGCCUACUCCUGGACUAUCAACCAUACAAAAAAAAAAAAAAAAAUACAAUAUUUAUUUUUUUAUUUUUU